AAAGCUCAAAUUUAAAAUCUGUCUGCCUUUCGGUAGUCCGAGUUGUAAUCUGGAGAAGUGUUUUCCGCGCUGGACCGUGUACAAGUCUCCUGGAACGGAGCGUCAUAGAGGGUGAGAAUCCCGUCUUUGACACGGACUACCAGUGCUUUUGUGAUACGCUCUCAACGAGUCGAGUUGUUUGGGAAUGCAGCUCAAAAUGGGUGGUAAAUUCCAUCUAAAGCUAAAUAUUGGCGAGAGACCNAUAGCGAA
rnacentral:rRNA from 1 species